UAUGUCCACAUCAUGUUGAAACACCGGUUCCCGUGCGAUCACCGAAGUCGAGCCUGGUCAGUAACUAGAUGGGUGACCGCUUGGGAAUACCAGGUGCUGUAAU